GGUUGUAUAUAACAAUGUCAAACGCAAGAGAUCAUGGAACAAAAAUGAUGAACCGGCUCAAAGCAUUUCCAAAGCCAGUAUCCAUCAAAAAGGUGAUGUUAUCUAUUUGAUGGGAUUUUAAAGGAAUCUUUUUUUUUUAAUUUUAUCGGAUAAUACAACAAUUAAUUCGGAAGUCUAUUGUCAUCAGCUGGACAAACUGAAUGAUGCACUUCAUUAGGAAAGGCCAGAAUUAAUCAACAGAAAAAGUAUAGUGUUCCACCAAGUAAUGCAAUACCUCGUACAAGUUUGAUCACUCGCCAAAAGCUUUUACAACUUGAAUGGGAUACAAUGCCACACCCACCAUAUUCUCCAGAUCUGACACCUUCGAAUUAUUAUUUGUUCCGGUCACUGCAAGAUUUUUUAGACGGUAAAACCUUUACUUCAAAUGAGGAGGUCAAAAACCACCUCGAUCAGUUUUUUGCCAGCAAAGACCAAAAAUUUUAUGAGCGUGGAAUGAUGCUAUUACCAGAAGGAUGGUAAAAGGUAUUGGACCAGAAUGGCCAAUAUAUAAUUUAAUAAAAUAUUUGUUCAUUAUAUGAAAAUUGUCUUUCACUUUCACAAAAAAAAAACGAAAUUACUUUCAGAAUAACCCAUUACAUAAGAAGUGAAAUAUCAAAAUGAAAAAUAUCAAAUCGAAAGAAAAUAUUCUCUUUGGUAUGAUUGAUUACAAGGAACAUCGUAAUCACGGUUAAGAUAGUUGAAUUACCGGUAUUUUUAUUUGACCGAUAUAUUCUCUCCGACCAAUGACAAAAAGUAGAUCGAGCAUAAUCAAAAAAAUGAUCGUUACGAAAAUACAAAGAUUAAAGGAUCUCUCUAAAGCAUCUAAUCGAUUUCAGCAACUCUCGGACACACCAGGAAGAAAGAAGAGUAAAACGAAAUAAAGAAAAAAAAAAUUUCUAGGAACAAAGAAUAGACAUGUCAACACGUUUAAAAGAUAAAGAUAGUCAUUACGAAGAUACUGUUGUUGAGAACAGUAACAACGAAGAUAAAGAAUACAAUCAAUAACGAGAAUAGGCAACGACAAAAUAUCGAGAAACAAAAAAAAUAAUGAUUGAGAUUAAAUGAAAGUGAGUAAAAAAAAAAUAAAUAAAUAUGACGUUUGUUAUCUUUUUAUUCGCAGGAAUGUGCGAAUAACGUAAAAACGUAGGAUUAAUAUAUUAAAGGCACCAAUGAAAUAUUACCGACGUUCGAAUCGGAUUUAUUCGGAUCUCGAGGUUGAGAGAUAAAUCGAAAAAAAAUAAAGAAUAAUUUCGAUUAAUCGAAAAAAAUAAAGAAAAUAGAUCAGUUAUGACUCUGUAUACGCCACACGGUUAAACAAUUUAGAAUCGUUAGAGAAGAUUUUGAAGCAUUAUUAAUUGGCGAUUUGAAGAGAAAUCUGGCAAAACGAUAAUGUGAUUGCCUAUCUUUCUCAAUGGCAACGAUUAGUUGCACGAGAAUACAAUAGGAAGAUAGGAUAGAAUUUAUUUAGCGGCAGAAAGUAUUUAUUACUUAUUAAACUAGCCAAACGCACAAAAGCAACCAUGCCAGAUAAGGAAACAAAUGGAGAUUAGUUUUGGGAUUAAGAAACAUACAAUUCUGCGAUUAUUUGGGACAUCUUUCAAGAUAUGCAAAACCUAUCUGUACCAAUCAACUGCUAGCAGACUUUAAAAAAAAAGUGCUGAUCAUUAACCACACUAACCAACCAUAUCAUGAUAAAUUGAUGAAAAGCAGGACUUUUAACGACAAUUACGGGAUUCAACUGAAAAUAAGAUAAUAAGUAUACAAAUUAUAAAGUAAUGUUAAAUUUUUGAAUACAAUAAAGUAAAUUGUUAUUUAUUAUUUAUUAAGAUUGGAGAAAGAGAACGUCGAGGAUAAUAACUUUGUAAAAAGAACUACAAUAGUAGAGAUAUAUAGUUCGAACAAGUUGAACUAUAAUCAGAUCAAUUAUGAUCGAUCUAGGAAACUUAUAGGUGAUACUAAAUACAGGAUUAACAACGACGAUGAAAUAGGACUGACGUACAUAUCUAAAGUUUCGUAAAAUUAAUAGAGUAUGGAUAUGGAUAUGUAUUAUAACUGUAUUAUAACUGUUGGAACUAUAAUUGGGAGUAAAGGAGAAUUGAAGAUCUAUCCGUAGUUCCGAUGACGUAUCAAGUCAUCCCUUUGAUCCUAUAGGUCAUCAUCCCUUACGAGAGGAUGACACACAGGACGAUAUUGUAAUCAUGUGUCAAGUAACAACAGUGAACGACAAGACCAUGUAGAUUGUAGAGACAUGUAUUAAAUAUUAUUGGCUCGUAAUGGACAAAGAGAUAGCGCGUCAUUACAUGCGGAAAACCGAUCCAACAAGGAAGUCACGAAAAUAGAAGCGAACACUAAAUCAUAUUCAUUAUACACAAAAAUGUUGUACACCGAACUAUUGAAUAAACUGAGAUGGAUAGAAACACCAAUGGGAUUUGACAACUGUACAUUAUCAACCGUAUUGAUUAUUCAACAUCAUAAACAACGACAACAGGAAAUAAUGCACAGUAACUAGAUUAUAGAAGGUAACAUCAUUGAAGCGAAUGAUUUUCUGUUUUCCUGUUGUUCAAUGAUACUUUUCGAGAUAAAAUGACUUGCAAGGUAUGAAUGGGAGAAUGAAGGGGAACGGGAAUACAGAUCGUAAAACAGUUAAAUAAUAACAAUGAAAUAAUAACAAUUAAAUAAUAACAUUCUAUAUCGAGAGAAUACAGGAUCGAUCGAACAGACAGAGCAGACAUAUUAAAUAUUAUAUCAUAUCGAGUCCUAAGUAACCGUUAUAUUAUCAAGUAUCACCGAUAAUUGAAGUUUCUAAACUAUAUAAUUGUCGUUUAACAUAUACGGUCGGAUUUUAUCAGUUCGCUGGAAUACCAUUUCGACUUUCUAAUGCUGCCUGUCGCGUUUCAACGACUAUGUUUAAUGUAGUUUUAAAUAAUCUGCCGGAGUUUAUUGCAAUUGUAUGUAUAUUUGAACGGUAUCAUUGCAACAUCGCAAAAAUAUCGAAGAAGGAAUAGAUAUCCUCUCUUUCUUUUUCUCUCUAUCUGUCUCAUACCGCGUUCCUUUUGUUACAUUAUACUACUCUACAUUGAAUUUCUGAUAAGUAAUGUAUAUACCAAUCGUAACCAUCUAAAUUACAACCGAGUUGCUAUUUAUUAGAUUUCUAAAAUAAUGUUUCCUAAUUGUCCAUUUGCAAUUUGGGAUCUUUAUGUGUUCGAUAUGUUAUUUUCUAUCAUUAGAAAAUUUUUCUAAUUUAUUGACUAUCAAAGUGUUUCCUGUAUCACUGAAUGUUUAGACAAGUCCUAUUAUUAGAUAAACUCUUUAAAAAAAAAAUUUUAAGUGUCGUUGCAGAUAUUCACAAAUUACUCUAAUCAUGGAAUAGUUAUUAUAAUUGCACCUUAAAACAAUUAUGUAUUUAUUCAAAAUUAUUCUGUUUUUCAUAGAGGACAUAGAAAUCUUGGCUAUUUAUCUAACGAAAUAAUAUAAUAUAUAUAUACAUAUAUAUAUAAUUUUAUCUGACUAGUUAGUUCAUAUCAGGAAAAUAUUAUUAUGCCUUGUUUAAUUUUGCCAAGUCUAAUCGAUUUUAAUAUGACAUAAAAAUUUUUAUCUAUUUCGAUAAAUUAUUUCGUAACAAUCUUUAGAAGUGUUUAGAUUUCAACAAUACAUAUUCAACAAUAUUAUACACAGUACACGAUUUUUCAUUGAUAGAAAAUAUGAAUUAGUUUUGAUUGAAAUAAGAAAUUAGAGACGAAAUAUAAAGGACUAUACGAAAUCGUGAAGAUACUUGAUAAAGAUAGAUAUUUGAUACAGGAUAUUGAAACAGAACAACAGAGUAAUACAUUUUAUAAGAUUAUCGUUGCUUUGAAUAGACAGAAACCUUUAUCAAUAUUCAAUGAAUCAUAUGUAUCGUGUUAUGUUAGAUUUCACUUUUCUCGAUAAGCAAACUGUUCUAGAAACUAUACAGAAUCUCUACUUCGCUUUUUUUGUUCUUGUUUUACUUAAUUUUUUAAUGUUGUCGAUACAAUGAAAUUCGUAUCUUUCUUAAAUUUUGUUUUUAUUGCAUUUUAAAUUCGCACAAUACCUACCUAUUCUUUAAAUUAUCCGAAUUUUCCCUAAAAACAAUACGUUAGUCUUCGCUUUGUAAAAUUUCUCUAUCUAUUUUUAACAUUAUAAUGGAAAUUGGGAAAUUCACACUUUCCUAUCGAAUAUUUUGUUUUAAUUUUCUAUUACACGCUUAAAUUUAAUUAUGCUUCACUAUUUUUUUUUUUAAUCAACGUAAGAUAACGCUUUUUCUUAUAAGCAAUUUUUUCAAAUAAAAAUUCUGAACAUGAAUGAUUUUCAUUUCCCCUUGGUUUUAAUUGAAAGAAGUACACUUAAUUUUUCAUUGUUACAUCAAAAAUCUUGCACGAUAUGACAAUCAUAAACUAAUGCUUUAUAUCAAAUACUACGUACUUUCAGCUUAAGAGAUUAAAUGCGAUUAUUAUUGAAUCUUUGCUUUUUUGAACAGAUAACUAGUUUUGUAUAUCUCAUUGCAUUUAUUUUAAUUUUUGCUAAAUCAUAACUCUGUUCUUUAAAUUAAAUAAAUCUAUAUACAGUUUGUUGAAAUUCGAUCUGUCAAGAUUAUAUCUAUUUCCUAUAAUCUUGCCACCGAUGCAGAGAUACACAUUUCUUCCAAUUCUUCUUGUUUUCCAUAAUUCGAUAAGUUUCUCAAAUAUUACCCUAUUCUCUGAAAGAUGUGAGGAUAUCUUCCCUGUGUGCCAUCUACUAGAAUUCUUCAUGGUCUAUAAUUUGUCAGAUUCCUACUAAAGAGUUUCUCCCUCUGUAAUAUAUUCGUCCUUUCAUCACGAAUUUUACACGUGCAUAGAUUUUUUUAAGGUUCUUCAUGCAAAAAUAAUUGUAUAUUAUGUUUGAUAAGAAUUGAAUCUAUUUUUCUUGACACGUCUACUAGUUAUGCACAUUUCAUAGCGCUUAGUUCAAUUGAAUAAUAUUUCUAAUAAAAAUUCUGCACGUAAAUGAUUCUCAAUUGGUUUAAUUUUAAAUGAAAGGUAUAUACACUUAAUUAUUGCUCUUUUCAUGAAAAGUUUUGCACGAAAUCAUAAAAUGCUGCAUUAUUCCAAAUAUUAGGAGAUAUCACCUUAACAGUUAAAAGCGAUUCUUAUUGAAUCUUUCCUUAUUUUCAAAGACAACAGGUUAUUAACGUCCCAUAGCAUUUAUUUUAAUUUUUGUUAAAUCAUAACUCUUUUCUUACAAUUAAAGAAAUCUAUAUUAUGUUCGUUAGAAUUCGGUCUGUCAAGAUUGUCCAUGAUGACCAUAAUAAUGCAAUCGGUGUAGCGAAACACAAUUCUUCUGAUUAUUUUCCUUUUCCAGAAUACGUUAGGUUUAUUAAAUAUUACCCUAUUCUCUGAAAGAUGUGAGGAUAUCUUCCCUGUGUGCCAUCUACUAGAAUUCUUCAUGGUCUAUAAUUUGUCAGAUUCCUACUAAAGAGUUUCUCCCUCUGUAAUAUAUUCGUCCUUUCAUCACGAAUUUUACACGUGCAUAGAUUUUUUUAAGGUUCUUCGUGCAAAAAUAAUUGUGUAUUAUGUUUGAUAAGAAUUGAAUCUAUUUUUCUUGAAAUGUCUACUAGUUAUGCACAUUUCAUAGCACUUAGUUCAAUCGAAUAGUAUUUUCAAUAAAAAUUCUGCACGUAAAUGAUUCUCAAUUGGUUUAAUUUUAAAUGAAAAGUAUAAAGGAACAAAUAAUAACAUGUACAUUAGAUUCGUCGGAACAUGCAUUUUGUAUUCUGCUGUUUUUUAUUUUGAUAUUGUUUAACGAAAAAUAUUUUUUAAUGAAAAAUAUUGUUUAAUGAAUAACAUUGUUUAACGAAUAAUCGUCUAGAGAUAUGCAAAUAUUAUGCGACAGGCAUUUAGUUGGAUCGAAAAAAUUUUUUUUAUGAUAAAUCUUUGUUUUGAUUGUUUCGAUCUAAUUAUUGCACGAAAUAAAAAUUAUGAAAUCUUUAGAUAAUAUAGUGCGAGUGUGCAUUUAUUGUUUUAUUUCGACUUACCGAAUAAAAUACGAUGGCACGAUUGAGACGUUGCGAUAUGUGGUCCUUUCGUUGCUGAGUUGCUGACUUUCAAUCCGAAUUGCAGACGAGAAUCUCCCUUGUAUUCUAUAUACAUCUUCACUUCGUUAAAA